ACAGCAGUAGCCACGGUAAUACGUAGGUGGCAAGCGUUGUCCGGAAUUAUUGGGCGUAAAGGGCUCGCAGGCGGUUUCUUAAGUCUGAUGUGAAAGCCCCCGGCUCAACCGGGGAGGGUCAUUGGAGACUGGGAAACUUGAGUGCAGAAGAGGAGAGUGGAAUUCCACGUGUAGCGGUGAAAUGCGUAGAGAUGUGGAGGAACACCAGUGGCGAAGGCGACUCUCUGGUCUGUAACUGACGCUGAGGAGCGAAAGCGUGGGGAGCGAACAGGAUUAGAUACCCGUGUAGUCCCUGUCUCUUAACC
rnacentral:rRNA from 1 species